GCUGACGUGCAAGCGUGGCCCAGGCGGGGUGCGAGUGGCGCAGUCGGAGCCCGCUGCGGCCCCAGAGGUAGCGAGGAGGCGUCCGCGUCGGCUGAGGCGGGCGGGCUGACGAGGCGAGGCGGUGGCUCCAGGCCCCGAAGGAGUCUGGAGCCCGAGCAGCAGUUGCAGCGGGACCUCUCCCCCUCGGAGGCGGCGGGUGGAGGCGGCGGCGGCGGGAGCGGUGGUGCCCCCCCGGGCACAGGGCCAUGUACAACGGGAUCGGGCUGCCGACGCCCCGGGGCAGCGGCACCAACGGCUACGUCCAGCGCAACCUGUCCCUGGUGCGGGGCCGCCGGGGUGAGCGGCCAGACUACAAGGGAGAGGAGGAACUGCGGCGCCUGGAGGCUGCCCUGGUGAAGCGGCCUAAUCCUGACAUCCUGGACCACGAGCGCAAGCGGCGCGUGGAGCUGCGAUGCCUGGAGCUGGAGGAGAUGAUGGAAGAGCAGGGGUACGAGGAACAGCAAAUUCAGGAGAAAGUGGCUACCUUUCGACUCAUGUUGUUGGAGAAGGAUGUGAACCCUGGGGGCAAGGAGGAGACCCCUGGGCAGAGGCCAGCGGUAACUGAGACCCAUCAGUUGGCAGAAUUGAAUGAGAAGAAGAAUGAGCGACUCCGUGCUGCCUUUGGCAUCAGUGAUUCCUAUGUGGAUGGCAGUUCUUUUGAUCCUCAGCGUCGUGCUCGAGAGGCUAAACAACCAGCUCCUGAGCCUCCAAAGCCGUACAGCCUUGUACGGGAGACCAGUAGUUCUCGUUCACCAACUCCAAAGCAAAAGAAGAAGAAAAAGAAGAAAGAUAGAGGACGUAGGUCAGAGAGCAGCUCUCCUCGUCGUGAGAGAAAGAAGAGCUCUAAGAAGAAGAAGCACAGGUCAGAAUCUGAGUCGAAGAAACGGAAGCACAGGUCUCCCACUCCAAAGAGCAAACGUAAAUCUAAGGACAAGAAGCGGAAGCGGUCUCGAAGUACAACACCAGCUCCUAAAAGCCGUCGGGCCCACCGUUCAACCUCUGCUGAUUCUGCGUCGUCCUCUGAUACUUCUCGAAGUCGGUCUCGAAGUGCUGCAGCUAAAACCCAUACAUCUGCUUUGUCUGGGCAAAGUCCUUCCCCUGCUUCAGGGCGUAGAGGGGAGGGAGAUGCGCCUUCUAGUGAACCAGGUACCACCAACAUACAACAGCGGCCUAGCAGCCCAGAGCCCUCUACAAAGCAGCCUGCCAGUCCUUAUGAAGACAAAGAUAAGAAGGAGAAAUCUGCAGUUCGACCUAGCCCCUCUCCGGAAAGGAGCAGCAUGGGUCCAGAACCGCUUGCUCCCCCUCCGCUCCUUGCUGAGCAACAUGGUGGCUCCCCACAACCCUUUGCAACAGCCCCAUUAUGUCAGGAUCCAGUGAAUCCCCCUUCUGAAGCCUCCCCCACCCGGGGCCGUUCGCCAAUUAAAUCUCCUGAGAAACCUCCCCAAUCAUCUUCCUCAGAAAGCUGCCCACCAUCCCCUCAGCCUACCAAAGUUUCUCGGCAUGCCAGCUCCUCCCCUGAAAGUCCUAAGCCAACACCAGUUCCUUCAGCAGCCCUACGAGAGAUGUCAUCUUCUCCCACAUCCAAGAAUCGUUCACAUGGCCGAGCAAAGAGGGAUAAAUCUCAUUCCCAUACCCCUUCCCGAAGAAUGGGAAGGUCCCGUAGUCCUGCAACUACUAAGCGGGGGCGAUCUCGGUCUCGAACUCCUAAGAGAGGCCACUCUCGGUCUAGGUCCCCUCAGUGGCGUAGGUCACGCUCUGCCCAGAGGUGGGGGAGAUCUAGAAGUCCCCAGCGGCGUGGCCGAUCUCGGUCACCUCAGCGUCCCGGCUGGUCCAGGAGCAGAAAUACCCAGAGAAGAGGCAGAUCUAGGUCAGGAAGGAGAGGCAGGUCACAUUCUAGAUCCCCAGCCACGAGGGGCAGAUCUCGUUCUAGAACGCCAGUCAGGCGAGGUAGGUCCCGCUCUAGAACACCUGCCAGGCGGAGAUCCCGGUCCAGAACACCUCCCCGGCGUAGGUCUCGGUCAAGAACGCCAGCCCGGAGGGGAAGAUCUCGGUCGAGAACACCUGCUAGGCGCAGAUCCAGGACCCGAUCACCAAUACGACGAAGAUCUCGUAGUCGAUCACCAGCCAGGAGAAGUGGUAGGUCGCGUUCCAGAACCCCGGCCAGACGUGGCCGAUCGCGCUCCAGAACCCCGGCCAGACGUGGCCGGUCGCGCUCUAGAACUCCAGCUAGACGUGGCCGGUCACGGUCUAGAACACCAGCCCGGAGAGGAAGAUCUCGGUCUAGAACACCAGCAAGACGAAGGUCCCGUAGUAGAAGUCUGGGUAGGCGUGGAAGAUCACAUUCUAGAUCACCACAAAGAAGAGGCAGGUCUGGCUCAUCAUCAGAGCGGAAAAACAAAUCCAGAUCAUCUCAAAGAAGAAGCAGGUCCCACUCAAGCCCGGAAAUGAAAAAAUCCCGUGUUUCCUCAAGGCGGAGCAGAUCUCUUUCUUCAUCACGAUCCAAGCCAAAAUCUCGCUUAUCUCUGAGGCGAAGCCUUUCAAGGUCUUCUCCUUGUCCCAAACAGAAGUCUCAAACACCACCUAGGCGCAGUCGUUCUGGAUCAUCCCAACCUAAAGCUAGAUCCAGAACACCACAGCGAAGUCACUCUGGUUCUUCACCACCUGAACAGAAGUCUGAAACACCAUCCAGACAAGCACGUUCCAGUUUAUCUCCUCACCCUAAAAUGAUGUCUGGAACGCCACCAAGGCAGGAGUCUGUAACCAGUUCCCAGGCAAACGAACAGUCUGCAGUGACACCCAGGCAGAGCCAUUGUGAAUCAUCACCUGACCCUGAGAUGAAAUGUGGAACCCCUUCAAGAUAUAGCUGCUCUGAGUCCUCUCCUCAAGUGAAAUCUAGGACACCUCCAGGACAUAGCCCAUCUAGAUUGUCAUCUCCACAACCUAGAGUAAAGACAGUGUCACCAAGACACAGGAGCCAUUCUGGCUCCUCUUCUCCGAGUCCUAGUAGGGUGACUUGUGGAACACCUCCACGGCAAAGCAGGUCAGUAUCUCCCUGCUCCAAGGUGGAAUCUAGAUUGUUGCCAAGACAGAGCCAUUCUAGAUCCUCUUCCCCAGAUACCAAAGUAAAGCCUGGAACACCACCAAGACAAAGUCACUCAGGGUCUACAUCGCCACACCCCAAAGUAAAGUCUCAAACUCCACCAGGACGAAGUCUCUCUGGAUCAAAGUCACCAUGUCCCCAAGGGAACUCUGAGGACUUGUCAGCACAGAGUGGCUCUGAAUCUUUCUCUCUCUGUCCUGGAGUAACAUCUUGUAUACUGCCAGGGGAGAGCUAUUUUGGCACCUCAUCUCUGCAACAGAAAGGAGAAUGUCAGACUUCACCAGACCACAGGUCUGAUACUUCAAGUCCAGAAGUGAGACCGGGUCACUUGGACACUCUAUCUUUGCAGAGCAAAUCUCAAACAUCUCCUAAGAGUGGCCGGUCUAGGUCUUCAUCUCCAGUCACUGACAUAAUGCUCAGAUCUCCAGUGAGACAAGAUAGAAAUGACUUAUCAACAGGUCCAAGGCUGAAAUCAGGUAUGUCUCCUGAGCAGAGAUCUCAGUCUGACUCUUCCCUGUAUACUCCAGUGGACUCUAAAUCUCUUUUGGGACAGAGCAGAUUGGAACCUUCGCCUGAAACGAAGGAGAAGAUAGGCUUAUCCCUUCAGGAGACUGUUACUGGGCAUUCUCCUAGACCUAGAGACAGAUUAAGUCCUGUGCAGGAUAGGCCAGAGUCCUCACCAGUCCUGAAAGACACGCCUAGACCGCAAUCAAGAGAAAGAAGUAUUGUGGGAUCUCCAGAUACAAGAGACCAAAAUACUACAUUACCUAAGUUAAGUCAAGACGAGGAAUUAAUGGAGGUGGUAGAGAAAUCUGAACAGCCUUCGAACCAAGUUCUGCCCCAAAUGUCUCCAGAACUUAAAGAAGUUGCCUGCAUUAAUUUUGAAUCUCAGUCUCCUGAAAUAGAACAAAGGUCUGUUGUGUCAUUGGCUUUUGACCAAAGUGGGUCACAGGCUUUGGAAGCAGAAGUCCCUGCAGUGGCCUCGUGUUGGAGCGGACCCCACUUUUCUCCAGAACAUAAGGAACUGUCUCACUCCCCUCCCGGGGAGAAUAGCUUUGAGUCACCUUUAGAAUUUAGAAAUUCAGGCCCUGGUACAGAAAUGAAUACUGGAUUUUCUCCCGAGGUUAAGGAAGAUUUAAAUGGACCUUUCUUGAGUCAGUUGGAGACAGAACCAUCUUUAGACAUGAAAGAACAGUCAACCAGGCCCUCUAGACGCAGCAGUUCUGAGUUCUCCCCAGAUGGAGUGGAGAAGGCAGCGAUGUCUUCAAAUCAGAGUGUCUCUUCACCUGUACUCGGGGCUGUACCUAGAACGCCUUCUAGAGAAAGAAGUAGUUCUGUGUCUUCUCCUGAACUGAAAGAUGGUUUGCCGAGAACUCCUUCAAGGAGAAGCAGGUCUGGGUCUUCUCCAGGACUUAGAGAUGGGUCUGGGACUCCCUCUAGGCAUAGUCUAUCCGGGUCCUCUCCUGGGAUGAAGGACGUACCUAGAACCCCAUCCAGGGGGCAGAGCGAAUGUGAUUCUUCACCUGAACCAAAAGUGUUGCCUGAAACUCCUAGGGCAAGAAGUCAUUCUCCCUCAUCCCCAGAGCUCAACAAGGGUCUCACCCCUCAGAGAGAGAGAAGUGGAUCUGAAUCAUCAGUUGAACAGAAGCCUGUGACUAGGACCCCCCGUGGGCAUGGAAGUCCAUCUGGAUCUUCUCAGGAACUUGAUGGGAAACCUGGCACAUCCCCUCAGGAGAGAACUGAGUCAGACUCUUCCCCUGAUUCUAAAGCCAAGAUGCGAAGUCCACUUAGACAGAGGAGUCGCUCUGGAUCAUCACCAGAGCUUGACAGCAAAUCUCGACCCUCUCCUCGGCGUAGUAGAUCUGGCUCAUCCCCUGAAGCAAAAGAUAAACCAAGGUUGGUGCCCAGGGCCCAGAGUGGUUCUGAUUCCUCUCCUGAGCCUAAAGUACCUGCCCCCAGGGCCCUGCCCAGACGCAGCAGAUCAGGUUCAUCAAGCAAAGGCAGAGGUCCUUCUCCUGAAGGAAGCAGUAGUUCUGAUUCUUCUCCAGAACACGCACCCAAACCCAGAGCCACUCGAAGAGGCUCCAGGUCCUCACCAGAGCCUAAGACCAAGUCUCGCACACCACCUCGACGGCGCAGCUCUCGAUCAUCUCCUGAAGUAACUAGGAAGGCCAGAGUGUCUCGAAGAAGCCGCUCAGCUUCAUCAUCACCAGAAACUCGAUCCAGAACUCCUCCAAGACGCCGAAGAAGUCCCUCAGUGUCUUCCCCAGAGCCAGUUGAAAAGUCGAGGUCUUCACGUAGGCGACGUUCAGCUUCAUCUCCACGCACUAAGACAGUUUCAAGGAGAGGCCGGUCUCCUUCACCAAAACCACGUGGGCUCCAGAGGUCCCGGUCUCGCUCACGCAGAGAGAAAACAAGAACAACGCGACGUCGAGAUAGGUCUGGAUCCUCACAGUCAACCUCUCGGAGAAGACAGAGGAGUCGGUCUAGGUCUCGGGUAACUCGUAGGCGGAGGGGAGGCUCUGGUUACCAUUCAAGGUCUCCUACUCGGCAGGAGAGUUCCCGAACCUCUUCUCGACGCCGAAGAGGCCGUUCCCGGACACCACCAACCAGCCGGAAGCGUUCAAGGUCACGCACAUCACCAGCUCCGUGGAAACGCUCUCGGUCUCGUGCCUCACCAGCUACUCACCGGCGAUCCAGGUCCAGAACACCCCUGAUCAGCCGGCGCCGGUCCAGGUCUCGGACAUCACCUGUGAGUCGAAGGCGGUCACGGUCUAGGACAUCAGUGAAUCGACGAAGAUCUCGAUCAAGAGCAUCCCCAGUGAGUCGAAGGCGAUCCAGAUCCAGAACACCACCAGUAACGCGUCGCCGCUCAAGAUCCAGAACACCAGCACGUCGUCGCUCCCGUUCUAGAACUCCUCCAGUGACUCGGAGGCGGUCCAGAUCUAGGACUCCCCCAGUAACUAGAAGACGAUCUCGAAGCAGAACUUCACCCAUUACUCGGAGAAGGUCAAGGUCCAGAACAUCCCCAGUCACUCGGAGAAGAUCUCGAUCUCGUACAUCUCCAAUCACUCGCAGGAGGUCCCGCUCUCGAACCUCUCCUGUAACACGCCGCCGCUCUAGGUCUCGAACACCUCCAGCAAUUCGGCGACGCUCAAGGUCUCGAACACCCCUGUUGCCACGCAAACGUUCUCGAAGUCGCUCACCGCUUGCUAUCCGCCGCCGUUCGAGAUCUCGUACUCCACGAGCAACCCGGGGCAAACGCUCUUUAACAAGAUCCCCUCCAGCAAUCCGUAGACGAUCUGCAUCAGGCAGUAGUUCUGACCGUUCACGCUCUGCUACUCCUCCAGCAACAAGAAAUCAUUCUGGAUCCCGGACACCUCCAGUAGCACUGAGUAGUUCCAGAAUGAGUUGCUUCAGUCGUCCUAGCAUGUCACCAACUCCUCUGGACCGGUGUAGAUCGCCUGGAAUGCUUGAACCACUGGGCAGUGCCAGAACACCCAUGUCUGUCCUGCAGCAAGCCGGCGGCUCCAUGAUGGAUGGUCCAGGUCCACGACUUCCUGAUCAUCCAAGAACAUCAGUGCCAGAAAAUCACGCUCAGUCUAGAAUUGCACUUGCUCUGACGGCCAUCAGUCUUGGCACUGCCCGGCCACCUCCGUCCAUGUCUGCAGCCGGCCUAGCUGCAAGAAUGUCUCAGGUUCCAGCUCCAGUGCCUCUCAUGAGCCUCAGAACAGCCCCAGCUGCCAACCUCGCCAGUAGGAUUCCUACAGCCUCUGCAGCAGCUAUGAACCUUGCUGGUGCCCGAACACCUGCCAUUCCAACUGCAGUCAACUUGGCUGAUUCGAGAGCACCAACUGCUGCAGCCGCAGCCAUGAACUUGGCCAGCCCCAGAACAGCAGUGGCACCUUCAGCUGUGAACCUUGCUGACCCUCGAACCCCCACAGCCACAGCUGUGAACCUAGCAGGUGCCAGAACCCCAGCUGCCCUGGCAGCUUUGAGUCUCACGGGUUCUGGCACACCUCCAGCUGGUGCGAGCUAUCCCUCGAGCUCCCGAACACCCCAGGCUCCAGCCCCAGCAAACAUGGUGGGUCCUCGGUCUGCCCAUGCUACAGCUCCUGUGAAUAUUGCCAGCUCUAGGACCCCUACUGCCUUGGCCUCUACAAGUCUCACCAGUGCUAGGAUGGCUCCAGCAUUGUCUGGUGCUAACCUCACUAGUCCCAGGGUGCCCCUGUCUGGUUACGAGCGUGUCAGUGGCAGAACCUCACCCCCCUUGCUUGACCGAGCCAGGUCCAGAACACCACCAGCUGCCCCGAGUCAGUCUAGAAUGACCUCUGAGCGGGCUCCUUCCCCGGCCUCAAGAAUGGUCCAGACUCCUUCCCAGUCUCUUCUUCCUCCAGCACAGGAUCGACCUAGGUCUCCUGUGCCAUCGGCUAUGACAGACCAAUCUCGUUCUAUUGCCCAGACCACUCCUGUAGCAGGGUCUCAGUCCCUGUCCUCUGGGGCAAUGACAAAGACCGCAUCCUCUGCUAGUGACCACAAUGGCCUGCUCUCUGGCCCUGCUUCUGAGAUGUCCCACCCCGAGGGUGGGGAGCCACUUCCCUCUACUGGGGCCCUGCAGCCCCCAAAGGAACGGCGGAGCAGCUCAUCGUCAUCGUCAUCAUCUUCUAGCUCCUCCUCCUCCUCCUCCUCUUCCUCCUCCUCCUCUUCCUCCUCUGGCUCCAGUUCUAGUGACUCGGAGGGCUCUAGCCUUCCUGCCCAACCUGAGGUGACACUGAAAAGGGUCCCCAGCCCCACCCCAGCCCCCAAGGAGACCGUUCGCGAGGGACGUCCUCAGGAGCCAGUCCCAGCCAAAAGGAAGAGGCGCUCUAGCAGCUCCAGCUCCAGUUCUUCCUCCUCUUCCUCUUCCUCCUCCUCUUCCUCCUCCUCUUCCUCUUCCUCCUCCUCUUCCUCCUCUUCUUCCUCCUCUUCCUCCUCUUCUUCCUCUCCCCCCUCUCCUGCUAAGCCUGGUCCUCAGGCCUUACCCAAACCUGCAAGUCCCAAGAAGCCACCCCCUGGCGAGCGGAGCCUCCUCCCUGUCUCCCUGCCUCCACGCCAUUCUCUUCCACUCGUAGCCAGAGGGAUCUUUCUAAAACGCACAUCUGGCUACUUCCCUCCACUCCACAAAUCCUUCCGGGACGCCCUGUGGCCUGCAGGAUAAAGCCCCACCUCUGCGGGAAUGGCGUGUGAGGCUCUUCACCAGCUACCCUUGCCCGCCCCAUGCUCUUGUCCACCCUGUGUUCCUUCUGCCUACCCCCACACAUGCCCUGUGAUCCGGCCAUGCCCGCGCCUUGCAGUCUAGGAGAGCCCCAUGCCUUUGGACAUGCUGUUCCUUCUGCCUGGGAUUUCCUUGUCCGCCUGGCGAGCUCCUCGUUCUGCAAGACUCCACUCAAACAGCACCUCCGAGAAGACUGCCUUGCCCUUUCCCUGCCCCAUCCCAGCCCAGGCUCCCCUCCCUGGGGCCCCCAGACCCAUGCAUAUCCAUUCCUGCGGGACUGCUUCCCACACAUGGGGACUGGGCCUGUGUGCCUCCUAUGCUGGCCUCCUCCACUACCAGACUGAGCACCUUCAAGGGCAGGGACUGUCUUUUAUCUUUGCGUCCCCCGCUGCACCCUGUGCCCUGCCCACUGGGGCACUCGGUGGAUGGUGUGCGGGCGGAUGGGUGAGUGCGGAUAAAGGUCUCGGAGUCCCAGGAAGCCAAUAGACUCCCUUCGAGACUCUCGGUCCCUCAGCUAUUCUCCUGUGGAGCGCCACUGUCCCUCACCCCAGC